rnacentral:rRNA from 1 species
UACGAAGGGGGCUAGCGUUGUUCGGAAUUACUGGGCGUAAAGCGCACGUAGGCGGACAUUUAAGUCAGGGGUGAAAUCCCGGAGCUCAACUCCGGAACUGCCUUUGAUACUGGGUGUCUUGAGUGUGGAAGAGGUGAGUGGAAUUCCGAGUGUAGAGGUGAAAUUCGUAGAUAUUCGGAGGAACACCAGUGGCGAAGGCGGCUCACUGGUCCAUUACUGACGCUGAGGCGCGAAAGCGUGGGUAGCAAACAGG